UACAGAGGUCUCAAGCGUUGUUCGGAUUCAUUGGGCGUAAAAGGGGUGCGUAGGUGGGCGCCGUAAGUCAGGUGUGAAAUUUCGGAGCUUAACUCCGAAACUGCAUUUGAUACUGCGGUGCUUGAGGACUGGAGAGGAGACUGGAAUUUACGGUGUAGCAGUGAAAUGCGUAGAGAUCGAUAAGGAAGACCAGUGGCGAAGGCGGGUCUCUGGACAGUUCCUGACAGCUGAGG
rnacentral:rRNA from 1 species